rnacentral:tRNA from 3 species
GGGGGUAUAGCUCAGCUGGGAGAGCGCUUGACUGGCAGUCAAGAGGUCAGGAGUUCGAUCCUCCUUAUCUCCACCA